rnacentral:pre_miRNA from 1 species
UAACCUCUGCAGGCUGCCGGCCCCCAGGCUGGCUGGGCAAGUGUCUCUUCAAAAGGCUCACCCUCAAGCACAACUAGGAGC